rnacentral:rRNA from 1 species
UACGUAGGGAGCGAGCGUUGUCCGGAAUUACUGGGUGUAAAGGGAGCGUAGGCGGGCGAGAAAGUUGAAUGUUAAAUCUACCGGCUUAACUGGUAGCUGCGUUCAAAACUUCUUGCCUUGAGUGAAGUAGAGGCAGGCGGAAUUCCUAGUGUAGCGGUGAAAUGCGUAGAUAUUAGGAGGAACACCAGUGGCGAAGGCGGCCUGCUGGGCUUUAACUGACGCUGAGGCUCGAAAGCGUGGGGAGCAAACAGG